UACGUAGGGAGCAAGCGUUGUCCGGAAUCAUUGGGCGUAAAGCGCGCGUAGGUGGCCUCAUAAGUCCGCUGUGAAAGUCAAAGGCUCAACCUUUGAAAGCCGGUGGAUACUGUGAGGCUAGAGUACGGAAGAGGCGAGUGGAAUUCCUGGUGUAGCGGUGGAAUGCGCAGAUAUCAGGAGGAACACCAAUAGCGAAGGCAGCUCGCUGGGACGUUACUGACACUGACGCUCAUGCACGAAAGCGUGGGGAGCAAACAGG
rnacentral:rRNA from 1 species